GCUGAGCGAAGGCUGCGGCAGAGUCUAUCGUUAUCCCGACCCGGUGAGACGGUGGAGGCAGUGAGUGUGUAGAAGUCGCUAGGAGCGCGAUCUCGUUCCCAUCAGGGAGAUGCGGUGGGACAGCUGGUGCAAGGUGACAGUUGAUGAGAAGAUAUUUCUACGGAGAAGUCACGGUGGAUUUGGCAAGGGAAAAUGAUGCUGGACCAAGCCGGUCCUGGUGCAGCUGGUUGCAGUGCUGCAUGUGUGGAAGAGAUGUGCCAGGUAAGAGUGUUUGUAGAGGUAGUGGCUUUUGUGUGGUUACCUGGUUUAGAGUGUUCAUCUAGGGGGGAAGAGCACAGCCUGCACACUUGUGGGCUGUGCUCUUCCCCCCUAGGAAUGGGGCUGUUGGCUGGGUUUUGCACUAUCUCAGAGAGAUUAUUUUUUUUUUGGGUGGGAGGGUGGGUGCUGGUCAGUAACGGAUUUUAUUCUGUGGUUGGAGUGUGGCAGCCCUGGGAGGGGCUGAGGGGGGCCCUCCUGCCUGGUGGGAGAGCCCCCUCUGGCCUGUCUGGGGCUCCCCCUGAGUGGGGGGGGAAGUAUGGGGGAGCCCCUCUGGCCUGUCUGGGGCUCCCCCUGAGUGGGGGGAGAGACCUCCCUGGUAAAGGGGUCUCUUCUCUGGAUCCUGGAGUGGCUCCUGUGUGGUGA
rnacentral:lncRNA from 1 species